rnacentral:lncRNA from 1 species
UGACAGUCGGUACCCCUGCCUCCCGGGCCACCGAGACUUUGGAGAGCCAAUGGGCUGUGUCCAGUGGGAACACAGGAGCUGCAAGGACGGAGCCACUGGAAUCAGGAGGGGCUAUGUUUGACCAAGGCUCAGUGGAAUGACCACUGUGCCCACGAGGAUUUUUACCUUCUGGACCAGCCUUCCCCACCACGUGCUGUGGGCCAUCCCUGCAACUUGGACUUAGGGCAGAAGUCUGUCCCCCUCUAUGUGGUCAAGAUGGAUGGGGCCACUUCUAUAACACACUGGAGCAAUAUGACUGGCGGCGCUUCCGGGCCCUGGCUGAGGAGUCCCAGCUCUAUGAGCAAAGCCUCAGCCUCUUUCUGCAGCAGUUCCAAAAGCCGGGCAUUUAUGUCUUUCGUCUGAGCAGCAACCGACAUCGGAAGAUGAUGCAGUGUCACAGCCUGAGCUGGGCUCGGAAGGCUGCUCCCCACCCCACCUUCAGGAGACAUCAGCAAGAAUGCAACCUCGAUGCCUACACUUCCCCAAGAACUGGGAUAAUGUCAAUAAGGAGAGGCCGAUCUCA